rnacentral:rRNA from 1 species
GACGAACGCUGGCGGCGUGCCUAAUACAUGCAAGUAGGACGCAGUUGCGAACGGGUGAGUAACGCGUAGGUAACUACCUAUUAGAGGGGGAUAACUAUUGGAAACGAUAGCUAAUACCGCAUACUAGUAGAUGGACCUGCGUUGUAUUAGCUAGUAUGUAGGGUAAUGGCCUACCUAGGCAACGAUACAUAGCCGACAUGGUAGGGGGAUCGGCCACAAUGGGACUGAGCAAAGGCCCAGCAUUCUACGGGAGGGAGCAGUAGGGAAUCUUCGGCAAUGGGGGGAACACUGACCGCGCAACGCCGCGUGAGGGAAGAAGGUUUUCGGAGCGGAAAGCUCUGUUGUUAAGGAAGCGGUACUUAACCAGAAAGGGACGGCUAACUACGUGCCAGCAGCCGCGGUAAUAC